UAGUUUGGAGACAAGACCAUGGAGCAGCCUUGCCAAGGUGGCAGUGCCAAGGGAGGCUUGGUGGGCCAGGGGACAAGUAGGCAGACAGUGAGCUGAGCUCGCCAGCAUGUGUCUGUGAAAACAGGGUCCUGUUAUGGACCCCUUGUUCUAUUAGCUCCAACUCUUGAGCUCCCAAGUGCCUCAUUUAGCCCCACACGAAGCUCACUGGAGGGGAGGAGCCAUGGCAGGCUCUCAGGAGAGGAGUGUGGGCUGAAGAUGCGCGUUGAUGAGAACCAGAGAGCCCCGUCAGGCCUCUAAGGUUUCCUCCAAAAACGCUCUUCGGGCUUCCACAGGUUGACUAGAAAGGUGCGGAGCAUCUGGCCUCAGGCAUGGAGACAGGAGGCGUUCCAUAAGCUUGCCACUUGAUAUGCCGCCUCAGAGAGGCAGCCAAGUGUGGUUAGGCUAUGGCCAUUCGCCCGAGUGCUAGGAAUCGCUGUUCUAGGAUUCUUUGAUUUUGUCUCAGCUGUCAUCUCUCUCAUGGCAUGACUCUCUUCAUCCCAGCCCUUCUGUGUGACUUCUUGGGAGAUCCUCACUGUCCAUGAGGGCACCAUGUUGCUACCACAACU
rnacentral:lncRNA from 1 species